AUCUAUCAUCAGUAAACCAACCCUUUACUUUCAGAUCUGUUUGUGACAGUGGUUGAAAGAAGACCAAACCAAAGUGAGGGUUUGUGGCUUCUUUCGGCAGAUUAUUAUCUCGCCCUGUACAAAUCAAGCCCUGAUCUAUCCAAACAUUAUGACAAACUAAGAAACACAACGACAUCAAAUUUAAAAAUGUACUGAACGUAAGGUGAUGCUUGGAUGUUUUGUCUGUGUUAAGACUGAAUGUCCUCCAACAUCAGGUCUUCAAAACAGCCACUAUCGACAAAUGAGUUGUUGAACUUUACUGAAACACGUCCUGAGAUCUUAAAUGUGUGCUCAAUUCCAUUUGAAGCCCCUGCUUCAAAAUAAAAGCUGAGAACCAAAAAAAUCCUCAGCGUGGGGUUGUCUCUCCACAUAAUGUAGAUCUUUUUUUUUUCCAAUCAGGAUUAAAGCUUUAUAGAGUACAGUUUUCAGUGAAACUAAAAUUAAAGAUUCGCCCACAGAGAGUCUUAAUGUGAAAGUAGAGAAAGUGUUGUACUUCCUUUUAAGGACACGUCAUUAUCAUCCCAUAAGCUCAUGAGGCAUUUCUAAAGGUUGCAGGCUUGCUGUGUCUUCCUGUCUUCAGUGUAGAUUACUGACAGCGUUCUGGGAUUAUGGAUCAAUGGAAACUCUGGCUUGUUCAUCUUCUCCCACUGUGUUUAUGUUUUGACAACGAAGUGACUUUUGUGACAACCUCAGGGAGAGAUCCAUAUGUGGCUCCACUGUGCACCAUUGACUCCUGGCGUAGGAGCACACUUAUCCUUUGUAAGAUCAGCAGAGAAAGGAGAAGGGGAGAAGACUGUUUUGUGGCGUAUCCUGCGGGUGAAGAGGAAUUGUUAACAAUAUGUGAAUCUAGGUUCACUUUAAUGAUGGUGAAUCAGACUGUAUUUCUCCACCUGACCGGUUUAACACCAGUGGACAGUGGGAGCUACACCUGUGUGUGUCCAUAUCCUAAUGGAAAAGAUAUAGAUAUCAAUAUCACUGUGGAAGGUACAUUUAUUUGUACUUUGGUAAUAAAACUGUCAAAUGUCAAAUUUAGGCUUUAUGGUGGAUGAACAAAUAUUCUGCUUCAGCAUCACUGUGGAAGGUAAAUGCGUUUCUUUUUGUGUUUAAUGGGCGAUACUUUUUUUUUUGUCUUUCCAAUCUUCUUGAAGAUGAAGAGCCCAGGUCCAGGAUACUGCUCAUUACUGUGAUUGGUUUUGCAUGCAUCGUUGUGUCUGUACUUGCCAUUGGACAUAUCCUGAGAAAAAAACAUUGCAGACACAAUACGAGGUCAGGAGCACCUGUCUGUGAAACCCCCUUCCCGUUGGACCAAAAUGACCCCGAUGACCCAGAUGACCCCUACACAAGCCUCCAGCACCCAGCCGGUGAACUCUACCAGACUAUCUCCUCGGUCCACCGUCAACACGACAACAAGAGGAAUUCAGCCAGCAACAGCAUAGUGACUGUCCAUAUGGGUAAUCAGGAAAGAGAUGAAAGAGAGACUGAAAUCUAUGAAAACGUCCAUCCAUCCAUCUUCGUCCACUUAUCCGGUAUCGGGUCGCGUCACAUCUGAAUC